CUGCGCGCUCCGCCGUAUGCCACGUACAGGUUUACGUCGACAAGCGGGCAGACUUCCUCAUGUGAGGCUAGGAUUCUGUGUUUGCCAGCCCUGGUUAAAGAUUUUGGCUGACAAGGUCCUGAGAGAAAUACCGACACAACAGUGGGAUUAAGUCGUCCAAUUACAGAGGUGGGAGCAGUAGACUGUACCAUGAACGGACAACUGGACCUGAGUGGCAAGCUGAUCAUCAAGGCCCAGCUGGGCGAUGACAUCAGACGCAUCCCCAUCCACAAUGAGGACAUCACCUAUGACGAGCUGGUGCUGAUGAUGCAGCGUGUCUUCAGGGGGAAGCUGCAGAGCAACGAUGAGGUCACCAUCAAAUACAAGGACGAGGACGAUGACCUCAUUACUAUUUUCGACAGCUCGGACCUGUCUUUCGCCAUCCAGUGCAGUAGGAUCCUCAAACUCACUCUCUUCGUGAAUGGUCAGCCGAGACCUCUGGAGUCCUGUCAGGUAAAGUACCUGCGUAAGGAGCUCAUUGAGCUCCGGAACAAAAUCAACGGUCUCUUGGAAUGUCUGGAGCCCCCCUCAGAACCUGGCCUGGCUGCCUCUGCACCAGACAGGGACUCGGUGGAUGUAUGUGAGGGGAGGGUGGUGACAGCGGUGAAGCAGGCCCCGGUCCCAGUCAGUGCGGCCAGCAUGUCGGCCUUCGACCCCCUGAAUAAGCAGGACGAAGUCAACAAGAACGUCAUCUCUGCCUUUGGCCUGAGUGAGAACCAUGUCCCAGCCCCCCCGGGUGUUUCGUCUGUGGAGCGGUCAGAUACUCCAGACAGCAUUGCAUCAUCGUCGUCCGCCGCCCCCCAGCCACAGGCCCCCUACGCAGGGAUGCAGCAGGGACCCCCAGCAGCCCUCGACGGUCAGAUGUACCAGCAGUACCAGUCUCCAGGUGGAUACUCUCCCCAGCAGCCAGCACCACAGCAGCAGUAUGGCAUGCAGUACCCUGCAGGAUGCACCCCCCAGCCCGGCACCCCUCAGCCUCAACAGCAGCAGUUCCAGAACUACCCUGCCCCCACCUCCCAGGCCCCCGCCCCCAGCCAGGGCCCAGCCCCCGGCUUUCAGGGAGGCCAACAGCAGGCCGCUCCACCCCAGGGUCCCCAGCAGUACCCCCAGGGGCCUUCCCUCCCCAAAACUACACCUCCCAGGCCAACCAGCCUGCCAACUACAGCCUACCCCCCACCUCCCAGUCUGGCCAGGGUUACCAGGCCCGUCCCAGCUACACUCCUCCCCCGGUAGCAACGUUACCCCCCUCCUGGGGCGUCCAACCCCUAUGCCCGCAACCGGCCCCCCUUCGGCUCGGGCUAUGCCCAGCCUGGCCCUGGGUACCGGUAAAAGAGAAGGAACGGAAAACAUUAUCCACACACACCCACCCCUCCCCUUUGUGUCCUGGCUGGCUCUGUUUGGCCUGGGUUCGGUAAACAUGGUCUGCUAAUCUGUCCAUCCGUCCUUCUGUCAGUCCUCAGUCACUGAUGAGUCCAUAUCAAAAACAAACUACAACCCCCCCCCCAUCUAAUCGCUGUGUUCUGUCCCGACCCCACCACACACACACAAACCCGUGUUAUCGUCUGUGUUCUGUCCCGACCCCACCACCACACACACAAACCCAUGUGUUACUGUCUGUGCUCUGUCUCGACCCCACCACCACACACACAAACCCAUGUGUUAUCGUCUGUGUUCUGUCCCGACCCCACCACCACACACACAAACCCAUGUGUUAUCGUCUGUGUUCUGUCCCGACCCCACCACCACACACACAAACCCAUGUGUUAUUGUCUGUGCUCUGUCUCGACCCCACCACCACACACACAAACCCAUGUGUUAUCGUCUGUGCUCUGUCUCGACCCCACCACCACACACACAAACCCAUGUGUUAUCGUCUGUGUUCUGUCCCGACCCCACCACCACACACACAAACCCAUGUGUUAUUGUCUGUGCUCUGUCUCGACCCCACCACCACACACACAAACCCAUGUUAUCGUCUGUGUUCUGUCUCGACCCCACCACCACACACACAAACCCGUGUUAUUGUCUGUGCUCUGUCCCGACCCCACCACCACACACACACACACCCAUGUGUUAUCGUCUGUGUUCUGUCUCGACCCCACCACCACACACACAAACCCAUGUGUUAUUGUCUGUGUUCUGUCCCGACCCCACCACCACACACACACCCAUGUGUUAUCGUCUGUGUUCUGUCUCGACCCCACCACCACACACACAAACCCAUGUGUUAUCGUCUGUGCUCUGUCUCGACCCCACCACCACACACACAAACCCAUGUGUUAUUGUCUGUGUUAUGUGUUAUCGUCUGUGCUCUGUCUCGACCCCACCACCACACACACACACACCCAUGUGUUAUCGUCUGUGUUCUGUCCCGACCCCACCACCACACACACAAACCCAUGUGUUAUCGUCUGUGCUCUGUCUCGACCCCACCACCACACACACAAACCCAUGUGUUAUUGUCUGUGCUCUGUCUCGACCCCACCACCACACACACACACACCCAUGUGUUAUGGCCCUGUUAUUUGAAAUUCAAUGUUCCCUACCCACACCCUAUGUGUCUGUCAUCAGGAUGGGCUUAAUUUAAAGUGAAGGCAGUAAAUUCAGGAAGUUAACUCAAAUGUACAAUUCAAUAAUAAAAAAGGGCAUUUUCAAUGACUUCUCAAUAAACUGAAAAGUCAAAGUUAUUUAUUUCAAGAUGUUUUUAAAUGUUUUGAUUUCUAAUUGUCGGUUGAAAUUGUGCUCAACACUGGUGAACAUGUCGUCAGUCUGUAAGCACACCCAGCUGGGAGAAGAAAACAGGCUGAAAUAUGAAGGCUGUCUUAUUAUCAUCAUCUGACUUUAUCUUUCUGGUCUGACAGCUGUAAAUGCACCUGUAUCCACUGGUCAACAGAUGAUGUUGAUUUGUAUUGCAUUUUAACUGAUCUUUUGAGGAUAUAGUUUGCUGAGUGUCAACAGAUGUUUCUAUGUAAAUGUUGUUCAUCCCCUUUUUUCUUUUCUUUUUUUAAAAUACUUUUUUUACAACUCGUUUUCAUCAAUGCCAUGUUGGUAUUAUGUCGUGUCAUGGAAUCUGCCCCUCGCUUGAGUACAAUAUGGGAGGUGUAGUUUUGACCUUCCAGAAGGGUCCUACCAUGUUUAGCCUCUUAGAUCACCUCCUUAUGGUUUAUCACUCUCUUUUUUUCCUCAAUGAUUUGUAUUAAUAUCAGUCAGAUUUUCCACCUUGAAGUGUCAUUUAGUUUGUUUAAACUGUAACAUUUUCUCUAAAACCCAAUAAAGGUUUUGAAACCUUGAAGUCUA